rnacentral:rRNA from 1 species
GAUGAACGCUGGCGGCGUGCUUAACACAUGCAAGUCGAACGAUGAAGCCGAGCUUGCUUGGUGGAUUAGUGGCGAACGGGUGAGUAACACGUGAGCAACCUGCCCUGGACUCUGGGAUAAGCGCUGGAAACGGUGUCUAAUACUGGAUAUGAGCCUCUAUCGCAUGGUGGGGGUUGGACAGAUUUUUCGGUCUGGGAUGGGCUCGCGGCCUAUCAGCUUGGUGGUGAGGUAAUGGCUUACCAAGGCGUCGACGGGUAGUCGGCCUGAGAGGGUGACCGGCCACACUGGGACUGAGACACGGCCCAGACUCCUACGGGAGGCAGCAGUGGGGAAUAUUGCACAAUGGGCGGAAGCCUGAUGCAGCAACGCCGCGUGAGGGAUGACGGCCUUCGGGUUGUAAACCUCUUUUAGCAGGGAAGAAGCGUGAGUGACGGUACCUGCAGAAAAAGCGCCGGCUAACUACGUGCCAGCCGCCGCCGUAACAC